rnacentral:rRNA from 1 species
AUGCACGCUGGCGGCGUGCCUAAUACAUGCAAGUCGAGCGAACGGACGAGAGGCUUGCUUCUCUGAUGUUAGCGGCGGACGGGUGAGUAACACGUGGAUAACCUACCUAUAAGACUGGGAUAACUUCGGGAAACCGGAGCUAAUACCGGAUAAUAUUUUGAACCGCAUGGUUCAAAAGUGAAAGACGGUCUUGCUGUCACUUAUAGAUGGAUCCGCGCUGCAUUAGCUAGUUGGUAAGGUAACGGCUUACCAAGGCAACGAUGCAUAGCCGACCUGAGAGGGUGAUCGGCCACACUGGAACUGAGACACGGUCCAGACUCCUACGGGAGGCAGCAGUAGGGAAUCUUCCGCAAUGGGCGAAAGCCUGACGGAGCAACGCCGCGUGAGUGAUGAAGGUCUUCGGAUCGUAAAACUCUGUUAUUAGGGAAGAACAUAUGUGUAAGUAACUGUGCACAUCUUGACGGUACCUAAUCAGAAAGCCACGGCUAACUACGUG